rnacentral:rRNA from 1 species
CCUACGGGAGGCAGCAGUGGGGAAUAUUGCACAAUGGGGGAAACCCUGAUGCAGCGACGCCGCGUGAGUGAAGAAGUAAUUCGUUACGUAAAGCUCUAUCAGCAGGGAAGAAAAUGACGGUACCUGAGUAAGCAGCCCCGGCUAACUACGUGCCAGCAGCCGCGGUAAUACGUAGGGGGCAAGCGUUAUCCGGAUUUACUGGGUGUAAAGGGAGCGUAGGCGGUGCGCCAAGUCUGGAGUGAAAUGCCGCAGCUUAACUGCGGAACUGCUUUGGAAACUGGCGAACUAGAGUGCGGGAGGGGUAAGCGGAAUUCCUAGUGUAGCGGUGAAAUGCGUAGAUAUUAGGAGGAACACCAGUGGCGAAGGCGACUUUCUGGACUGUACCUGACGCUGAGGCGCGAAAGCGUGGGUAGCGAACGGGAUUAGAUACCCGUGUAGUC